rnacentral:rRNA from 1 species
UACGUAGGGUGCGAGCGUUGUCCGGAAUUAUUGGGCGUAAAGAGCUCGUAGGCGGCCUGUCGCGUCGGAUGUGAAAGCCCGGGGCUUAACCCCGGGUCUGCAUUCGAUACGGGCAGGCUGGAGUGUGGUAGGGGAGAUCGGAAUUCCUGGUGUAGCGGUGAAAUGCGCAGAUAUCUGGAGGAACACCGGUGGCGAAGGCGGCAUCCUGGACCGACACUGACACUGAGGAGCGAAAGCCAGGGGAGCAAACGGG